GGUGCUGAGGCUUAGUUGGUUAAAGCGCCUGUCUAGUAAACAGGAGAUCCUGAGUUCAAAUCUCAGCAGCACAUUUCA